rnacentral:sRNA from 1 species
GGUGACACAGUGACAGAGUUAGGAGGGAGUGACUAGUGACAGUCACCCCCUCCCUCACUCUGUCACUAGUCACUCACUGUGUCACUAGUCACCCCCUUCCCUCUCUCUGUCACUCCCUUACUCUGUCACUAGAGUGAGGGGGUGACUAGUGACAGAGUGAGGGAAGGGGUGACUAGUGGCAGAGUGAGGGAAGGGGUGACUAGUGGCAGAGUGAGGGAAGGAAGGGGUGACUAGUGACAGAGUGAGGGAGGUGGUGACUGUCACUAGUCACCACCUCCCUCACUCUGUCACUAGUCACCACCUCCCUCUGUCACUACUCCCUCCCUCCUUCUCUCACUAGUCACGCCCUCCCUCACUCUGUCACAUGUCAUCCCCUCCCUCACUCUGUCACCAGUCAUCCCCUUCCCUCACUCUGUCACCCCCUCACUCUG